UACGUAGGGGGGCAAGCGUUGUCCGGAUUCAUUGGGCGUAAAGAGCGUGUAGGCGGCCAGGUAGGUCGGUUGUGAAAACUGGAGGCUCAACCUUCAGAGGUCGACCGAAACCAUCUGGCUAGAGUCCGGGAGAGGAGAGUGGAAUUCCUGGUGUAGCGGUGAAAUGCGCAGAUAUCAGGAAGAACACCCGUGGCGAAAGCGGCUCUCUGGAACGGUACUGACGCUGAGACGCGAAAGCGUGGGUAGCAAACAGG
rnacentral:rRNA from 1 species